rnacentral:rRNA from 1 species
AGAGUUGAUCAUGGCUCAGGAUGAACGCUAGCGACAGGCUUAACACAUGCAAGUCGAGGGGCAGCAUAGAAGUAGCAAUACUUGGUGGCGACCGGCGCACGGGUGAGUAACGCGUAUGCAACCUACCUAUCAGAGGGGAAUAACCCGGCGAAAGUCGGACUAAUACCGCAUAAAACAGGGGCACCGCAUGGUGAUAUUUGUUAAAGAAAUUCGCUGAUAGAUGGGCAUGCGUUCCAUUAGGUAGUUGGUGAGGUAACGGCUCACCAAGCCGACGAUGGAUAGGGAACUGAGAGGUUGGUCCCCCACACUGGUACUGAGACACGGACCAGACUCCUACGGGAGGCAGCAGUGAGGAAUAUUGGUCAAUGGGCGGGAGCCUGAACCAGCCAAGUCGCGUGAAGGAAGAAGGAUCUAUGGUUCGUAAACUUCUUUUGCAGGGGAAUAAAGUGCAGGACGUGUCCUGUUUUGUAUGUACCCUGAGAAUAAGGAUCGGCUAACUCCGUGCCAGCAGCGGC